rnacentral:lncRNA from 1 species
CAUCCAAAGCCUCUCCAUCUCCGAAGCUCCAACCCAACCCAGGAUGUCUUGCUGCGGAGGAAACUGCGGCUGCGGCACCGCCUGCAAGUGCGGCAACGGCUGCGGCGGCUGCAACAUGUACCCCGAGGCCGAGGCCGCCGGCACCACCCUCCUCGUCUCCGCCACCGCCACCCACAAGGCGUAUGUCCCUUCUCUUUCCUCAUACAUCAUGCACCUGAUCGAUCGUAACAAUAUGACUGUAUGUUGAUCUUGGUAUGGACGGGGUACGUGCAGGAGCUCCGGCGGCAUGGAGAUGGCGGCCGAGAACGGCGGCUGCGGCUGCACCCAGUGCAAGUGCGGCACCAGCUGCGGCUGCUCCUGCUGCAGCUGUUAGAUCGAUCAUCGACCAUGCAUGCAUGCACCGUGCCGUGCGUGCAUCAUCGAUCAUAUCGAUCUACUACUACCUUACCAUGUAACCGCAACCUGAUCGAGGGCCUUUAUGUACGCACCUGACCUGCAUCAGCAGUCAGGUGCCAUGCCAUGAUUGUAAACAGGCCCCCCUAAAUAAAAUCUCCCCUGAUUAACUAUACAUGUGUCGUCUGUGGUAUGCAUAUAUCAUCACCUUCUUUUUCUUCUUCCUCAUGGCACAAAAAACACUGCCUAAGAGUUGAGAGCGCUGAGUAUAUUACUAGAAAUGAUCAUAAGCAAAAGAUUU